GGUCUUCGGAUUGUAAAGCACUUUAAGUUGGGAGGAAGGGCAGUUACCUAAUACGUGAUUGUUUUGACGUUACCGACAGAAUAAGCACCGGCUAACUCUGUGCCAGCAGCCGCGGUAAUACAGAGGGUGCAAGCGUUAAUCGGAAUUACUGGGCGUAAAGCGCGCGUAGGUGGUUUGUUAAGUUGGAUGUGAAAGCCCCGGGCUCAACCUGGGAACUGCAUCCAAAACUCGGUAA
rnacentral:rRNA from 1 species